CCCGCUCAGAAACUUAAAGGAAUUGACGGGGGCCCCGCACAAGCGGUGGAGCAUGUGGUUUAAUUCGAUGAUACGCGAGGAACCUUACCUGGGCUCAAAUGUAUGUUGACGUAUUCUGAAAGGGAUACUUCUUCGGACAAUAUACAAGGUGCUGCAUGGUUGUCGUCAGCUCGUGCCGUGAGGUGUCGGGUUAAGUCCCAUAACGAGCGCAACCCCUAUCAUUAGUUGCCAUCAGGUCAAGCUGGGGACUCUAAUGAAACUGCCUACGCAAGUAGUGAGGAAGGUGGGGACGACGUCAAGUCAUCAUGGCCCUUAUGUCCUGGGCUACACACGUGCUACAAUGGCCGGUACAGAGCGCAGCGAGGCCGCGAGGCGGAGCGAAUCGCUUAAAGCCGGUCCCAGUACGGAUUGGAGUCUGCAACCCGACUCCAUGAAGUUGGAAUCGCUAGUAAUCGCGCAUCAGCAUGGCGCGGUGAAUACGUUCCCGGGCCUU
rnacentral:rRNA from 1 species